UCUCAGGCUGUGAUCCUCUGGAAGGAAGCACUUUCUGUUGUCUGAAAGAAAAGAAAGUGCUUCCUUUUAGAGGGUUACCGUUUGAGA
ensembl:miRNA MIR520C microRNA 520c